AGCGUAGGCGGAUAGUCAAGCGUUCUGUGCAAUCUCGGGGCCCAACCCCGAACACGCAGAGCGAACUGAUUAUCCUGAGUAGUUCAGAGGUUGGCGGAAUUCCUGGUGUAGCGGUGGAAUGCGUAGAUAUCAGGAAGAACACCGAUGGCGAGGGCAGCCAACUGGGGACUAACUGACGCUGAGGCUCGAAGGCGCGGGUAGCAAACA
rnacentral:rRNA from 1 species